rnacentral:rRNA from 1 species
AAACUCAAAGGAAUUGACGGGGACCCGCACAAGCAGCGGAGCAUGUGGUUUAAUUCGAAGCAACGCGAAGAACCUUACCAGGGCUUGACAUCCCUCUGACCGGCUUGAUAACGAUAGCCUUUCUUCGGACAGAGGUGACAGGUGGUGCAUGGUUGUCGUCAGCUCGUGUCGUGAGAUGUUGGGUUAAGUCCCGCAACGAGCGCAACCUUUGUCUUAUGUUGCUAGCACAUUAUGGUGGGGACUCAUGAGAGACUGCCGGGGUCAACUCGGAGGAAG